rnacentral:rRNA from 1 species
UACGUAGGGGCGCAAGCGUUGUCCGGAAUUAUUGGGCGUAAAGAGCUCGUAGGCGGUUUGUCGCGUCUGCUGUGGAAAACCUGAGGCUCAACCUCGGGCUUGCAGUGGGUACGGGCAGACUGAGAGUGGCGGUAGGGGUGACUGGAAUUCCUGGUGUAGCGGUGGAAAUGCGCAGAUAUCGAGGAGGAACACCGAGUGGC